rnacentral:rRNA from 1 species
UACGGGGGGGGCAAGCGUUGUUCGGAAUUACUGGGCGUAAAGGGCUCGUAGGUGGCCAACUAAGUCAGACGUGAAAUCCCUCGGCUUAACCGGGGAACUGCGUCUGAUACUGGAUGGCUUGAGAUUGGGAGAGGGAUGCGGAAUUCCAGGUGUAGCGGUGAAAUGCGUAGAUAUCUGGAGGAACACCGGUGGCGAAGGCGGCAUCCUGGACCAACACUGACACUGAGGAACGAAAGCCAGGGGAGCAAACGGG